CACGGCCCCACGCGCAGAGAUUGAAGUCCUUGCUGCUAGUGGGUCGGGUCCUCGCUUUGUGCGGGGAUGCGACGUGCAGCAAUGGCGCUAGCCGUUCGAGUCGUGUAUUGUGUGGCGAGGGGACUCCCCAGGUCACCGGGUUCUUUGAAGUGACGGUAGCCGGGAAGUUGGUUCACUCCAAGAAGAGAGGUGAUGGCUACGUGGAUACAGAGAGCAAGUUCCGGAAACUGGUGACUGCCAUCAAAGCCGCCUUGGCUCAGUGCCAGUGAGCCCUAGAGGCAGGGUCCUGAAGGCUCCUGGCCGGCCUUUCUUGGCAGCCGCUUCAUGACAGGAAGGACUGAAAUGUCUCAAAGACCUGUGGUCUUUCUUCGAUGUUCCUGCGGCCACCAAGUCAGGCCAGAGAUGGAUUCUGUGUGUGGGUGCCUUCCCAGAAUCUACCUGUGCACGCACCCCGCCCUGCCCUCCCGCCCUCUUCCUCACCUCUCUCUGAAUUCCCCCAUGUUUCCUACCUUCCCUCCUGCUUUGGUUUCCCGUCUCCCCCUCAAGACUGCAAGAAGACGGGCAGCCGUGUCGCCAGGUGUUCCUGGUUGAAUAAAGGUUGGCCAAGGCAACCUGAGGAAAUGUAGUUUAUUUUGCCUUGCAGUUUCGGGUCACAAUCCUGGAUGGGGAAUUCAAGGUAGCAGGGUCUUGAAGAAGCUGGUCACAUUGUAUCUGCAGGCAGAAAGCAGAGAGAUGGAGCUGGGUGAAACGGCCCAGCAGGCGAAGGCACUUACUGCCAAGACAUAGUCCGAGUUCAGUCCUUGAGACCCACAGACCACAUGGC
rnacentral:lncRNA from 1 species